CAUGCAAGUCGAGCGGUAGCACAGAGAGCUUGCUCUCGGGUGACGAGCGGCGGACGGGUGAGUAAUGUCUGGGAAACUGCCUGAUGGAGGGGGAUAACUACUGGAAACGGUAGCUAAUACCGCAUAACGUCGCAAGACCAAAGUGGGGGACCUUCGGGCCUCAUGCCAUCAGAUGUGCCCAGAUGGGAUUAGCUAGUAGGUGGGGUAACGGCUCACCUAGGCGACGAUCCCUAGCUGGUCUGAGAGGAUGACCAGCCACACUGGAACUGAGACACGGUCCAGACUCCUACGGGAGGCAGCAGUGGGGAAUAUUGCACAAUGGGCGCAAGCCUGAUGCAGCCAUGCCGCGUGUGUGAAGAAGGCCUUCGGGUUGUAAAGCACUUUCAGCGGGGAGGAAGGCGAUAAGGUUAAUAACCUUGUCGAUUGACGUUACCCGCAGAAGAAGCACCGGCUAACUCCGUGCCAGCAGCCGCGGUAAUACGGAGGGUGCAAGCGUUAAUCGGAAUUACUGGGCGUAAAGCGCACGCAGGCGGUCUGUCAAGUCGGAUGUGAAAUCCCCGGGCUCAACCUGGGAACUGCAUUCGAAACUGGCAGGCUAGAGUCUUGUAGAGGGGGGUAGAAUUCCAGGUGUAGCGGUGAAAUGCGUAGAGAUCUGGAGGAAUACCGGUGGCGAAGGCGGCCCCCUGGACAAAGACUGACG
rnacentral:rRNA from 1 species